UACGAGGGGGGCAAGCGUUGUUCGGAAUUAUUGGGCGUAAAGGGCGCGUAGGCGGUGCGGUAAGUCACCUGUGAAAACUCUGGGCUCAACUCAGAGCCUGCAGGCGAAACUGCCGUGCUUGAGUGUGGGAGAGGUGCGUGGAAUUCCCGGUGUAGCGGUGAAAUGCGUAGAUAUCAGGAGGAACACCGAUUGCGAAGGCAGCUCGCUGGGACGUCACUGACGCUGAGACGCGAAAGCGUGGGGAGCAAACAGG
rnacentral:rRNA from 1 species